CUUUAUUGGAGAGUUUGAUCCUGGCUCAGGACGAACGCUGGCGGCGUGCCUAAUACAUGCAAGUCGAGCGGACAGAUGAGGAGCUUGCUCCUCUGAUGUUAGCGGCGGACGGGUGAGUAACACGUGGGCAACCUACCUGUAAGACGGGGAUAACUCCGGGAAACCGGAGCUAAUACCGGAUAAUAAAGAGAAACGCCUGUUUCUUUUUUGAAAGUCGGUUUC
rnacentral:rRNA from 1 species